CCUACGGGUGGCAGCAGUGGGGAAUAUUGCACAAUGGGGGAAACCCUGAUGCAGCGACGCCGCGUGAGUGAAGAAGUAUUUCGGUAUGUAAAGCUCUAUCAGCCGGGAAGAAAAUGACGGUACCUGAUUAAGAAGCCCCGGCUAACUACGUGCCAGCAGCCGCGGUGCUACGUAGGGGGCAAGCGUUAUCCGGAUUUACUGGGUGUAAAGGGAGCGUCGACGGCAGCGCAAGUCUGGAGGGAAAUGCCGGGGCUUAAACCCGGAACUGCUGUGGAAACUGUGCAGCUAGAGUGCAGGAGAGGUAAGUGGAAUGCCGAGUGUAGCGGUGAAAUGCGUAGAUAUUAGGAAGAACACCAGUGGCGAAGGCGGCUUACUGGACGGUAACUGACGUUGAGGCUCGAAAGCGUGGGGAGCAAACAGGAUUAGAUACCCGGGUAGUC
rnacentral:rRNA from 1 species